rnacentral:rRNA from 1 species
UGAGGAAUAUUGGGCAAUGCCCGAAAGGGUGACCCAGCAACGCCGCGUGGAGGAUGAAGGUCGUAAGAUUGUAAACUCCUGUUAGAGGGGAAGAAUAACUAAGUUUGGAGCUUAGUAUGACUGUACCCUCAGAGAAAGCCCCGGCUAACUACGUGCCAGCAGCCGCGGUAAUACGCAGGGGGCAAGCGUUGUCCGGAUUUACUGGGUGUAAAGGGCGCGCAGGCGGAAUGGAAAGUCAGUGGUGAAAUCCUACAGCUUAACUGUAGAACUGCCUUUGAUACUUUCAUUCUUGAGUUCGGGAGAGAGAGACGGAAUUCCAGGUGUAGUGGUGAAAUACGUAGAUAUCUGGAAGAACACCAGUUGCGAAGGCGGUCUCUUGGUCCGACACUGACGCUGAGGCGCGAAAGCGUGGGGAGCAAACA